UAAGUUUGGGGGGAUGUGUCUUUGUGGGUGCACUUUUCUUUUUGUUUUUCUUGUUUGUUUUGUCGUUGAGUUUCCUUGGUCUUGCUUUGGUGGUUUCUUCGUGAUGUACCUUGAUGAUGAUGCGAGUUGUGUAGAGUCUUGUUGGAUAACUGGCUUAUGAUGAUUUCUGUUUAAAACUUGUGAAAGUGCAUGCGUUUGUGUCGAUAUUGUUGUGAUUGAGCAUGAUUGAUGAAUGAUAAGCAUGGUCUCUUUUGAUGUUGCAAUCAAUGAAAUAAGCUGUGAGAUUUGAGCCUUGACUGUCAC
rnacentral:lncRNA from 1 species